AGUAGAACAGCAUAUAGGAAAAAAUAAUAUAAAAAAGACAGGCAAAAAGGUGGUUCAUUGUGUUUCUGCAAAACUGAUAGACUGUUCGCUAGACUGACCAGGAUGUGUCACAUUCCUUAGCAAACUACUUGUUAUCUGCAAAAGAAAUGUAGGCCCAAAAUAACAUUGAUAAGAGGAACUCAAGUUACCCUGAAGGGAGAGAAUUUUGUGACCCUUUUCACAGACCAGAUCCUGGAACUCAGAGAGAUAAGGAUAAUUCUUACUAACUAUAAAUAUAAUCUAUAAUUCUUACUAAUUAUAAAAUCUAUAUUCUUAUAGAUAUGUUUUUGAUAUGUUUAAGAAUCAAAAAGUUACACUCAUACAUUGCUUGUGGAACUGUGAAUUGGUACAACCAAUCUGGAAAGCAAUGGGAAGAUUCCUCAGAAAACUUGGAAUGGAACCACCAUUUGACCCCAGCUAUACCACUCCUCAGUCUAUACCCAAAGAAGUUUAAAUUAGUAUACUAUAGUGACAUAGCCACACCAAUGUUUAUAGCAGCUGAAUUCACAAUAGCUAAACUGGAACUAACAUAGAUGUUCAUCAAUAGAUAGUUGGAUAAAGAAACUGUGGUAUACAUAUACAAUAGAAUAUUACUCAGCAUUAAAAAAGAGUAAAAUUAUGGCAUUUGCAGAUAAAUGGAGUUGGAGAAUAUUAUGCUAAGCAAAGUAAGCCAAUCCCAAAAAACUAAAGGACAUAUGUUUUCUCUGAUUAGUGGAUGCUGAUCUAUGAUGGGUGGGGCAUGGGAAGAAUGAAGGAACUUUGGAUUGGGC
rnacentral:lncRNA from 1 species